UCCAGCCUGCCCAGUGACUCUUGUUCAACGGCCGCGGUAUCCUAACCGUGCAAAGGUAGCGUAAUCACUUGUUUUCUAAAUAAAGACCAGUAUGAAAGGCAUCACGAGGACUAAACUGUCUCCUUUUUUCAAUCAGUGAAUCUAAUCUCCUCGUGAAGAAGCGAGGAUUCUAAUAUAAGACGAGAAGACCCUAUGGAGCUUAAAACAUCAUUACACUUUCCACCGCAUUUCCAUGCUCCGGCACCUUCAGCACUGGCACACUGAUUAUAUGUUUUUGGUUGGGGCGACCGCGGAGAAAAACCCAUCCUCCGCGAUGAAAAGGGCUUCCCCCUUAAACAACAAACCACAACUUUAUGUAUCAACAAAUUGACAUCUAUUGACCCAAUAUAUUGAUUAACGAACCAAGUUACCCUAGGGAUAACAGCGCAAUCCACUUUAAGAGCCCCUAUCGACAAGUGGGCUUACGACCUCGAUGUUGGAUUAGGGUACCCCAGUGGUGCAGCCGCUACUAAAGGUUCGUUUGUUCAACGAUUAAAACCCC
rnacentral:rRNA from 1 species